rnacentral:sRNA from 12 species
UAGCGCCUGCGGCGGACCCGGCACGGACCUUUGGCUAUGACCCGGCUUCGCAGGCAGCCUGUCCGUGUACGGUCUGGUACAAUUCCGGAAUUUCCGGAAUUUAACGAUUUCU